UACGAAGGGGGCUAGCGUUGCUCGGAAUUACUGGGCGUAAAGCGCACGUAGGCGGUUUGUUAAGUCGGGGGUGAAAUCCUGGAGCUCAACUCCAGAACUGCCUUCGAUACUGGCGAUCUCGAGUUCGGGAGAGGUGAGUGGAACUGCGAGUGUAGAGGUGAAAUUCGUAGAUAUUCGCAAGAACACCAGUGGCAAAGGCGGCUCACUGGCCCGAUACUGACGCUGAGGUGCGAAAGCGUGGGGAGCAAACAGG
rnacentral:rRNA from 1 species